rnacentral:lncRNA from 1 species
GGGAGGGGGCGGGCAUCUAGCACUGGAAUUCUAAGGGCAUAAAUCCACACACCUGUCUAGACAUCCAUCCAUCCUUUCAUUCAGGAAAACAUCUGAGCCCAUGAAUUGCCAGACCCUGGAUACCUGAGACACAUCCACUUGCUUCUCAGGUUUGGAGUGCAUAAUGAGGAGAAAUAAAAACAGAAAGAUCUCCAGAAAGAAGCCAUGGUAAGAUUCAAGGUUUCACAGUCCAAGCUAAUGCCUGUGGACACUUGACCAAGUGAUCUGAGAAAAUUGGAUUUCUGGCAAAACAAGUGUACCUAGACUCAGGCAAGGGUGGAGAACAGAGGGCGACUAGAUUAAAUGGAAAGAAUGCCCAGGCAUCCCAUUGCCUCCCUUUGACGUUCCAGAACUUCAUCAAGACAGUGAUGAGCUACAUGUACACCUGGAGGAGGACCAUGCAGAAUACCAUCCAGCGCCAUGAACACUAGUCAGUCAGUCAGUAAUGGUGGGCUUCUUGGUGUGCUCCAGCUCAAUUUUCUCAUGUUUGAUGAUUGUAAGUAUUAUCUUCAGUAGUAGAACCUUACCAUCAGCUCAUGGGGAGCAACCAAUAGUUUUUGCAAUAGUCUGUAAUAUUUAGGGA